rnacentral:rRNA from 1 species
AGUGAACGCUGGCGGUAGGCCUAACACAUGCAAGUCGAACGGCAGCACAGUAAGAGCUUGCUCUUACGGGUGGCGAGUGGCGGACGGGUGAGGAAUACAUCGGAAUCUACUUUUUCGUGGGGGAUAACGUAGGGAAACUUACGCUAAUACCGCAUACGACCUACGGGUGGAAGCAGGGGAUCUUCGGACCUUGCGCGAUUGAAUGAGCCGAUGUCGGAUUAGCUAGUUGGCGGGGUAAAGGCCCACCAAGGCGACGAUCCGUAGCUGGUCUGAGAGGAUGAUCGGCCACACUGGAACUGAGACACGGUCCAGACUCCUACGGGAGGCAGCAGUGGGGAAUAUUGGACAAUGGGCGCAAGCCUGAUCCAGCCAUACCGCGUGGGUGAAGAAGGCCUUCGGGUUGUAAAGCCCUUUUGUUGGGAAAGAAAAGCAGCAGGUUAAUACCCCGCGGUUCUGACGGUACCCAAAGAAUAAGCACCGGCUAACUUCGUG